UAGGGAAUCUUCGGCAAUGGACGAAAGUCUGACCGAGCAACGCCGCGUGAGUGAAGAAGGUUUUCGGAUCGUAAAACUCUGUUGGUAGAGAAGAACGUUGGUGAGAGUGGAAAGCUCAUCAAGUGACGGUAACUACCCAGAAAGGGACGGCUAACUACGUGCCAGCAGCCGCGGUAAUACGUAGGUCCCGAGCGUUGUCCGGCUUUAUUGGGCGUAAAGCGAGCGCAGGUGGUUUAUUAAGUCUGGUGUAAAAGGCAGUGGCUCAACCAUUGUAUGCAUUGGAAACUUGUAGACUUGAGUGCAGGAGAGGAGAGUGGAAUUCCAUGUGUAGCGGUGAAAUGCGUAGAUAUAUGGAGGAACACCGGUGGCGAAAGCGGCUCUCUGGCCUGUAACUGACACUGAGGCUCGAAAGCGUGGGGAGCAAACA
rnacentral:rRNA from 1 species